AACCGCCGAGUACGUGACCCGUACGCUCGGUGGUGUGAGAGGCGCACUCCGUUCCAUUAUGGGCGGAGCCGUCUACUCGAU
rnacentral:misc_RNA from 1 species